rnacentral:rRNA from 1 species
UACGGGGGGGAGCAAGCGUUGUUCGGAUUUACUGGGCGUAAAGGGCGCGUAGGCGGUCGUGACAAGUCACUUGUGAAAUCUCCGGGCUUAACUCGGAACGGUCAAGUGAUACUGUCGGACUAGAGUACAGAAGGGGGCAACUGGAAUUCUCGGUGCAGCGGUGAAAUGCGUAGAUAUCGAGAGGAACACCUGCGGCGAAGGCGGGUUGCUGGGCUGAUACUGACGCUGAGGAGCGAAAGCGUGGGGAGCGAACAGG